rnacentral:tRNA from 1 species
GCCGAAGUGGCGGAAAUGGCAGACGCGCUGGAUUCAGGUUCCAGUGUCCGCGAGGACGUAGGGGUUCGAAUCCCCUCUUCGGCA